GCCGGGCGCGGUGGCUCACGCCUGUAAUCCCAGCACUUUGGGAGGCUGAGGCAGGCGGAUCACCUGAGGUCAGGAGUUCGAGACCAGCCUGACCAACAUGGUGAAACCCCGUCUCUA
rnacentral:sRNA from 1 species